rnacentral:rRNA from 1 species
AGUACGUGAAACUGCUUAGAGGUUAAGCCUGAUGAACCUGAAUAUCCAUUAUUGGAAAAUUCAUCGCCAAUGUUAUAAUAUAUUUUAUUAUAUUGUAAAAAUGGUGUGCAUUUUUUCCAUAAAGGACAUUGUAAUCGGUUAAUAAAUUUGAAAGUUUAUCAAAAGAUUCAUUAUAAAGAGUUUAUUCUAAUUAAAUUAAUUUAUUAAUUUAAAAUUGAAUAAAUUUUAUGAAUUUGAUAGACUGUUGACCGAUUUAUUUAUAAUAAUGUUUAAAAUUUCUUUAAGAAAUUUUACAAUAUUUAUUUAUGUAUUCUUUGAAUAUAUAUUUUAUUUAUUGUAUACAUUUUUAUGAUUUACAAUGCUAUAAAUUCAGGAUACCUUCGGGACCCGUCUUGAAACACGGACCAAGGAGUCUAACAUAUGUGCAAGUCGUUGAGUAUUUUAAAUAAAACUCAAAGGCAUAAUUAACUUAACUGUUUUUAAUGGGAUUAGUUUAUAUAUGUUUUUUUUAUUUUAUAAAAGAGAUAUUGUAAAUUCAAUCCCAGGGCGUUCUAUAUAGUUAUGCAUAAUAAUAUUUAUAUUAUUUAUGUCUCUAACUG